GGCAAAUCUGUGUGUGUGUGUCUCUCUCUCUCUCUCUCGCUCAUGGUCUUCGAACUGUUCUUUCGCCAGAACCGAACCCUAGCCUCCGUCCUCGUCUCUCGCCGCCUCCUCUCAUCCUCCUCUCCUUCCCUCUCGAUCCUCCGAGACCGCUACGGCUUCGUCGCCCCCCCGUCUCUCCUCCCUGAAAACCCUAAAGCUAUCCCCGGCGACCGCGGUGGAGACCAGGCCAAGAAGAAGAAGAAGAAGCCUCCAUACAGGCCGCCGUCGUCGCUUGACCGUGCGGGCCAGAAACCACUCCACUCCGACCUCCCCUUCGACUUCCGCUUCAGCUACACGGAGAGCAAGCCCAAUGUGAAGCCUAUCGGGCUCCGCGAGCCCAAGUAUUCUCCCUUCGGCCCCGGGCGCCUCAAUCGGCCAUGGACAGGGGUUUGCGCUCCGGCGGUUGAUCCUACUGUGAGGUCUGUGGAUGGGGAGGGACCGAGCAACGUGGAGUUGGAGGAGAAGUGGGAGAAGACGAGGGAGACGAUUCUUGGGGAGCCGCUCACACCGGCGGAGAGGGCGUUUCUGGUCGAAAAAUGCCAAAAGAAUCGGACCAAGCGCCAGGUUAAUUUGGGGAGAGAUGGCCUUACCCAUAACAUGUUGAAUGAUAUUCACAAUAACUGGAAGCAUGCUGAGGCUGUUAGAAUAAAGUGUCUUGGUGUGCCCACUGUUGAUAUGCAAAAUGUUUGCACACAGCUUGAGGAAAAGACUGGUGGUCUGAUCAUCCACAGGCAUGGUGGUCAGAUCAUUUUGUACAGAGGAAGACACUAUAAUCCCAAGAAAAAGCCUGUAAUACCAUUAAUGUUGUGGAAACCUCAUGAACCAGUUUAUCCAAGGUUGAUUAAAACAGUGAUUGAUGGACUAACCGUUGAGGAAACAAAGGAAAUGCGGAAAAGAGGACUUGCUGUUCCUGCCUUGACAAAGCUUGCUAAAAAUGGUUAUUAUGCUAGCCUUGUGCCGAUGGUCCGAGAUGCUUUUCUGACUGAUGAGCUAGUUCGAAUAGACUGCAAGGGCCUGAACAAAAGUGACUACAAGAAAAUAGGGGUUAAGCUUAGGAUGAUCAAAUGUGGUUGAGGGAUCAGACUAGAUGAUUAGUCGAGUGAUUUCUUGUUUGAUGCUGAUGAUUGCAUAGUGAUCAAGGGAUGAUUGGACUUGGUUCCUUGUGUUCUUGUCACUUUCGAGAAGGAGCAAAUUGUGGUUAGGAGGGGAAACAACUACAACAGUGUUGCCCACUGUAACUCCGAAGAAAAAUCAUUCUCUAUGGCUAAUGAAUCAGGCUUGGGUGCGGAGAAGAGCAAUGAUAGUAUUCCUGGUAAAAACACGGAUGGCUGUAUUCCUGAUCGAAGCUCAGAUAGCUAUACCAUCAAUCAAAGUUUAGAUGAUGAAUCAGUUGUUUCGGGAAUGUGGUUCCAGCCAAUUGCGUAAACAGGAUAUCUGAACUUUUGAUGCCCCUGGCCCACACAGUCAGUCAGUAAUUAAGAGCCAAAAGAAGGGUUUCAUGAUGGGGUCCUGUUGCUGCUCCUAUCCAUUCAUAUUUUCCAGAAUGACUGCCAUCGCUGAGAUCACCUCGGUGAAUGUGAGACACAAUGCUGUUUGAUUCCAGAUCCUGCCACAGUAAUGGAAGAGCAUCAGUCUCUUAAGAUUUGUCACGCAAGGGAAUGUCAUGACUCGAUGGUUGACUGGGAUGAAGAUGACUGAAAAGCCACUUCAGAAACUGAGGAUUUUACAUUUUGGCAUCUUCAGCAUUGGAACUACAUUGUAGUGGAUUCUUUCAGAAACAUUUCAUGAUGUAUGGUGCAGCUCAGCCAUCAAAGCUUUCUUCAGUACCAUGUUUAUAUUUGUAUUUAGGGUGAUACUGAACUUAAACAAUUUGACCAUAAUUUUUGUUGCCAAUUUUUUCAACUUCUUUGUUCAAUUCAAUGACAUAAUUUGAACAAAUAAGGGUUUGUCAUAUCCAUAAAGAAGGGGAUAUUGGAGCAA